rnacentral:misc_RNA from 1 species
UUAUUUUGUUAUGUUUGGUUACAUCCAUUCAACUUGCGUUAAAAAGGGAUAAAAACUGAUCAGUCUAGGCCUGGGUAGGCUAAGCUGACGACGUGUGCACAGGGUAAAGAGUGGAAGACGGGCUCGCAGUAAAGAGACGCCCAAAAUUCACUAAUGAUCCUUCCGCAGGUUCACCUACGGAAA